rnacentral:rRNA from 1 species
ACACUCCUACGGGAGGCAGCAGUGGGGAAUAUUGCACAAUGGGCGCAAGCCUGAUGCAGCCAUGCCGCGUGUAUGAAGAAGGCCUUCGGGUUGUAAAGUACUUUCAGCGGGGAGGAAGGCAAUACGGUUAAUAACCGUGUUGAUUGACGUUACCCGCAGAAGAAGCACCGGCUAACUCCGUGCCAGCAGCCGCGGUAAUACGGAGGGUGCAAGCGUUAAUCGGAAUUACUGGGCGUAAAGCGCACGCAGGCGGUCUGUCAAGUCGGAUGUGAAAUCCCCGGGCUCAACCUGGGAACUGCAUUCGAAACUGGCAGGCUUGAGUCUUGUAGAGGGGGGUAGAAUUACAGGUGUAGCGGUGAAAUGCGUAGAGAUCUGGAGGAAUACCGGUGGCGAAGGCGGCCCCCUGGACAAAGACUGACGCUCAGGUGCGAAAGCGUGGGGAGCAAACAGGAUUAGAUACCCGAGUAGUCCCA